rnacentral:rRNA from 1 species
UACGAAGGGGGGCUAGCGUUGCUCGGAAUCACUGGGCGUAAAGCGCACGUAGGCGGACUCUUAAGUCGGUGGUGAAAUCCUGGAGCUCAACUCCAGAACUGCCUUCGAUACUGGGAGUCUCGAGUUCGGGAGAGGUGAGUGGAACUCCGAGUGUAGAGGUGAAAUUCGUAGAUAUUCGGAAGAACACCAGUGGCGAAGGCGGCUCACUGGUCCGGUACUGACGCUGAUGUGCGAAAGCGUGGGGAGCAAACAGG